rnacentral:rRNA from 1 species
CAGUAGCCGCGGGAAUACAGAGGAUGCAAGCGUUAUCCGGAAUGAUUGGGCGUAAAGCGUCUGUAGGUGGCUUUUCAAGUCCGCCGUCAAAUCCCAGGGCUCAACCCUGGACAGGCGGUGGAAACUACCAAGCUGGAGUACGGUAGGGGCAGAGGGAAUUUCCGGUGGAGCGGUGAAAUGCGUAGAUAUCAGGAGGAACACCUGUGGCGAAAGCGGCUCACUGGACCAUAACUGACGCUGAGGCACGAAAGCUAGGGGAGCAAACAGGAUUAGAUACCCCAGUAGUCCCUGUCUCUUAUAC